ACCUUUAUGGUGGCUUUUGCCUAGUGUAAAAAGCUAGGCGAAUAAGGGGGGGGCAAGACGGGUGUCAGCCGCCGCGGUAAUACCCGCUCCCCGAGUGGUGGGGACUUUUAUUGGGCUUAAAGCGUCCGUAGCGGGCCUAGUAAGUUUCCCGUUAAAUCCAGUGGCCUAACCACUGGGCUGCGGGAAAUACUGCUAGGCUUGGGGGUGGAAGAAGCCACCGGUACUCCUAGGGUAGGGGUAAAAUCCUCUGAUCCUAGGAGGACCACCAGUGGCGAAGGCGGGUGGCUAGGACACGCCCGACCGUGAGGGACGAAAGCUGGGGGAGCAAACGGGAUUAGAUACCCCGGUAGUCCCAGCUGUAAACGAUGCAGACUAGGUGUAGGAGUGGCUACGGGCCACUCCUGUGCCGAAGGGAAACCAUUAAGUCUGCCGCCUGGGGAGUACGGCCGCAAGGCUGAAACUUAAAGGAAUUGGCGGGGGAGCACCACAAGGGGUGGAUGUUGCGGCUUAAUUGGAGUCAACGCCGGAAACCUUACCAGGGGAGACAGCAGGAUGAAGGCCAGGUUAAAGGCCUUGCCAGACAAGCUGAGAGGAGGUGCAUGGCCGUCGCCAGUGCGUGCCGUGAGGCGUCCUGUUAAUUCAGGCAACGGACGAGACCCCCAUCCCUAGUUGCUACCAGAUACGAAAGUAUCUGGGCACUCUAGGGGGACUGCCGCCGAAAGGCGGAGGAAGGAGGGGGCCACGGCAGGUCAGUAUGCCCCGAAUCCCCUGGGCCGCACGCGACAUUCAAUGGUAGGGACAGUGGGUUCCGACCCCGAAAGGGGAAUGGCAAUCCCUAAACCCUACCUAGGUUGGGAUCGAGGGUUGCAACUC
rnacentral:rRNA from 1 species